UUUGUUUUGUUUUAGGCUUCCGCCUUUUGAAGCUGGGGCAAAAAAAACGAAGGCUCAUACACGUUCCUGGCACCUGCGAUGGUUAGACCCCAGGAACUGGGGGCUCCGAGGUCAGGGGCCACCCAGGCAUAGCUGCCUCUGUGUGAUCUCUGCAGCGUGGUGCCUCAGGGCUCCCGGGAUAAGUGUCCCGAGAGAGACAACAGAGACCCAGCCACGGAAGUCACAGAGCAUCACUUCUGUGCAUUUUCUUCCUCACGGACACGUCACGGAGGCUGACCCCUAGUCUCGGAAAAAGAAAUUAAAUUUCACCUCCUGUGGGAGGAGUGUCAAAGGAUGUGCAGGAUCCUGACCGACCCUGGUGCCGCCCUGUAUGGCCCCGUGUGAUGUGAUCGCCCCUUCUCUUGGAAUUUGACCCAGAACAUCACCACUGUUCCCAAGAGGGAGGCCCACCGGGUGGGCUGGGGAAGGAGCUUCUGUUGGGUGCACGGUUGGCUCAAUUUGCAGCCAUGCUGACUUCAGGGAAGGAGAGGAACAAGCUUCUGGAAGGAGGAGUCGGUGGAAGGCAGAGACUGGCAUCACUCACUGAUUACAAUGCAGCUCCAGCAAAUGAAACACAAAGAACGCUGGAUGUGGGGCCCACUGAAGCCUGAAAUCAUCCCAUUACCACACCGGAAGUCACCAGGAAGUACGAGUGCGUUUCGCCUCGAGAUGGCGACGGCACAAAGCACAGCAGUAUAGCUUCCGAGCCCACCGUGGGCUGGUAGGAAGGCUGGAAACCUGGGUUGUGGGCAGUGAGCAGUUCUUUCCAUGAGUCUGUGGUCAUUGCCUUUGGCGACGUUGGCCCAUUUGCCGUGCGAAAGGGUGAAGCGCGUGAAGGAGUCUACUGAAAGCCAUGGCUUGUUAAGAAAAGUCAUCCAAGUAUGAAGCAGAGAAGGGAGAACAGCUUUCAGGUAAUAGAUUUCUCUUUUUUCUGUUUGUGAUAGGUAGGGCAACGUCUAGUCUCCUCAUCUUAUGAAAAGAAAGUUACACUAAGAAAAAUGUGCUCCUGAGUCCAUUAAGAAAAAAGAAAAACUCACCACUGAUUAAAGAUCUCAUGAAGAGGUGCAGAAAUGAAUCACCUUCAAGUGUGUGAUUAUUUAAUUCUCUGAAACAGAUCAUUAUCUAAAUGAUACUCUCAAAAUUUGCAUAAAAUAUGCAGAGACACCAACGGCAUCUCCUCCGUGAAAAGCUCAAAGGAAGUUUGAAAAAUGAGCACGCUAUCGCCUCUUUUCCUUGCAAAUAUAUUGAUGGCACCUGGAGAAUGAAUUUGAAACAAUUCCCCCAAUUUCUAGGUAGGAGCUUGCUUCUCCGGCUGAAAUUCUCCAAAUCAGGUUGCUUUCUCUCUCCUGAUGCUGCAGGGCUCGUAAGUCUGAAAACAUCAACUAAUCAAAAAACAGGAACAAAAGGGAGAUGUGCAAAUGGUGGGGAUAAGGAGGCUGACGGAUCUUCAUAAAAAGAUCUCCUUUAAAAACAAACAAACCCCCCAAAAAAAGACCUCUUCUUUCAUGAUGGAGGACCCCAAGCGUGCUGAUGGACAAACGCCAGUACUGGGACCG